UAAUACCAGCACCUCGAGUGAUCAGGACGUUUAUUGGGCCUAAAAGCAUCCGUAGCUGGCUUUGCAAGUCUCCGGUUAAAUCAACCUGCUCAACAGAUUGGCCGCUGGAGAUACUACAAGGCUAGGGAGUGGGAGAGGCAGACGGUAUUCGGGGGGUAGGGGUAAAAUCCUCUGAUCCUCUGAGGACCACCAGUGGCGAAGGCGGUCUGCCAGAACACGUUCGACAGUGAGGGAUGAAAGCUGGGGGAGCAAACCGGAUUAGAUACCCGGGUAGUCCCAGCUGUAAACGAUGCAAACUCGGUGAAGCAUUGGCUUAAUGCUAAUGCUGUGCCGCAGGGAAGCCGUUAAGUUUGCCGCCUGGGAAGUACGGUCGCAAGAUUGAAACUCAAAGGAAUUGACGGGAGACGCUGA
rnacentral:rRNA from 1 species